AUUGAACGCUGGCGGCAUGCCUAACACAUGCAAGUCGAGCGAGCGGCGGACGGGUGAGUAAUGUAUGGGGACUGCCCGAUAGAGGGGGAUAACUACUGGAAACGGUGGCUAAUACCGCAUACUAUCGGAUAACACAGAUUGGAUUAGCUAGUAGGUGGGGGAAAGGCUCACCUAGGCGAAGAUCCCUAGCUGGGCUGAGAGGAUGAUCAGUCACACUGGAACUGAGACACGGCCCAGACUCCUACGGAGGCAGCAGUGGGGAAUAUUGGACAAUGGGCGCAAGCCUGAUGCAGCCAUGCCGCGUGUAUGAAGAAGGCCUUAGGGUUGUAAAGUACUUUCAGCGGGGAGGCGUUACCCGCAGAAGAAGCACCGGCUAACUCCGUGCCAGCAGCCGCGGUAAUUC
rnacentral:rRNA from 1 species